rnacentral:rRNA from 1 species
CCUACGGGGGGCAGCAGUAGGGAAUAUUGCUCAAUGGGGGAAACCCUGAACCAGCAACGCCGCGUGGGGGAUGAAGGUUUUCGGAUUGUAAACUCCUUUUGUUAGAGAAGAUAAUGACGGUAUCUAACGAAUACUCCCCGGCUAACUCCGUGCCAGCAGCCGCGGUCAUACGUAGGGUGCAAGCGUUAUCCGGAAUGACUGGGCGUAAAGGGAGCGUAGACGGGAUAGCAAGUCAGAUGUGAAAUCCUAUGGCUCAACCAUAGGACUGCAUUUGAAACUGUUAGUCUAGAGUAUGGGAGAGGUAGGUGGAAUUCUUGGUGUAGCGGUAAAAUCCGUAGAGAUCAAGAGGAAUACUCAUUGCGAAGGCGACCUGCUAGAAUAUAACUGACGCUGAUGCGCGAAAGCGUGGGGAGCAAACAGGAUUAGAUACCCGUGUAGUC